rfam:Paenibacillus sp. VKM B-2647 B-2647_022, whole genome shotgun sequence.
UUUGGUGACAAUGGCGGAGGGGAACCACGCGUACCCAUCCCGAACACGACCGUUAAGCCCUCCAGCGCCGAUGGUACUUAGACCGCAGGGUCUUGGGAGAGUAGGACGUCGCCAAGC